AUUGAACGCUGGCGGCAGGCCUAACACAUGCAAGUCGAACGAGUGGCGGACGGGUGAGUAAUGUCUGGGAAACUGCCGUAUGGAGGGGGAUAACUACUGGAAACGGUAGCUAAUACCGCAUACCAUCGGAUGAGCCCAGGUGGGAUUAGGUAGUUGGUGUGGUAAAGGCUCACCCAGGCGACGAUCCCUAGCUGGUCUGAGAGGCUGACCGGCCACACUGGGACUGAGACACGGUCCAGACGCCUACGGGAGGCAGCAGUGGGGAAUAUUGCCCAAUGGGCGCAAGCCUGACGCAGCCAUGCCGCGUGAAUGAAGAAGGCCUUCGGGUUUUAAAGUUCUUUCGGCAGGGAGGCGUUACCUACAGAAGAAGCACCGGCUAACUCCGUGCCAGCAGCCGCGGUAAUAC
rnacentral:rRNA from 1 species